rnacentral:tRNA from 5 species
GGAGAGGUGUCCGAGUGGCUGAAGGAGCACGCCUGGAAAGUGUGUAUACGCUAACCGCGUAUCGAGGGUUCGAAUCCCUCUCUCUCCGCCA